UGGGGGGAGAAAUACCAUCAGUCCUUCGUCGAAGGGUGACGCUUGAAGGUAUAAAAAUGCCUAAACAAAGAAAGGGAUGGCUGAACUUCGACUACGUGGUAAAGGGAAAGAAACCUAUCAAAAACCUAAAGGAAUUCGGAGCAACUGAAGCCAAAGAGAUAUCUAAGAAGCGGAAAAGGGCGACAACAAAGGGCGGAAGCGGAAGCCGGAGUCCGGCACGGAACACCUCCUGAUACACGCAGAAACGAUCGGGUGGGGGAGUGCUAGCCCGGUCGGAGGGGCCAGAAAGCUCCAGGUCGUACUCCGGAGGAACUCCGUACUGAACCCUUAUCAGUAGGAGUUCAUCCGGAGUCAGGGAGCAGGGAAUGGCACUCGGCGCAAAAAUCGGGCGAAGCCCAGUCCCAAGUGUGGGUUAGUCUAUAGAAUGGGGGUCCUGGGGGGCUGAGGCGGAAGAACUCCCGGAACCGCUAGAGGCA
rnacentral:lncRNA from 1 species